rnacentral:tRNA from 3 species
GCGCGGAUGGCGGAAUUGGUAGACGCGCUAGCUUGAGGUGCUAGUGGGUAACACCGUGGGGGUUCGAGUCCCCCUUCGCGCA